rnacentral:rRNA from 1 species
CCUACGGGAGGCAGCAGUGGGGGAUAUUGCACAAUGGGGGGAACCCUGAUGCAACGACGCCGCGUGGGUGAAGGAGUGCUUCGGCAUGUAAAGCCAUAUCGGCAGGGAAGAAGCAAGACGGUACCUGACUAAGAAGCCCCGGCUAACUACGUGCCAGCAGCCGCGGUAAUACGUAGGGGGCGAGCGUUAUCCGGAUUCACUGGGUGGAAAGGGAGCGUAGACGGCCAUGCAAGCCAGGGGUGAAAGCCCGGGGCCCAACCCCGGGACUGCCCUUGGAACUGCAUGGCUGGAGUGCGGGAGGGGCAGGCGGAAUUCCUGGUGUAGCGGUGAAAUGCGUAGAUAUCAGGAGGAACACCGGCGGCGAAGGCGGCCUGCUGGACCGCGACUGACGUUGAGGCUCGAAAGCGUGGGGAGCGAACAGGAUUAGAUACCCCUGUAGUC